ensembl:snoRNA small nucleolar RNA, H/ACA box 5C
UGCAGUCAAGUCAAAUUCGGCCCUCGUCUUGCCAUGGCGGAGGCUGGCCCAGAUGGCUGCCACAGCAAGCUCCGCUGCUCAUGGGCUCUGGGUCCCCACCUGGGACCUAGGGAUAAGUUUGGCUGUGGACAAGG